GGGGUACUCGAGCGGCGAACGGGUGAGUAACACGUGAGUAACCUGCCCUGGACUUUGGGAUAACCCUCGGAAACGGGGGCUAAUACCGAAUACGACCUGAUGUCGCAUGAUGUUGGGUGGAAAGUUUUUCGGUCUGGGAUGGGCUCGCGGCCUAUCAGCUUGUUGGUGGGGUGAUGGCCUACCAAGGCGACGACGGGUAGCCGGCCUGAGAGGGCGACCGGCCACACUGGGACUGAGACACGGCCCAG
rnacentral:rRNA from 1 species